GACAAGAGGACCUACCCGGAUCGGGUCCCAUCUGGAUAGAUGGCGUUUACUCGUCCUGUCCCAGCCAGGCUUCUCUUCUGGACUGUCCCCUUCGCCUUUAGUCUGGGCCUACACGAUUGUGAUCACAGAGAAGAUGUCGUCGUGUCUUGCUUUACUGAAUGUGAUGUCGAUGAGUUUUCAUGUCCGGAUAACAAGACUUGUGUUAGCCCUGAGUACAUCUGUGACGCAGAUCCGGAUUGUCCGGGUGGAGAGGACGAAGACAACUGUGGCAUUGAUACAGCAUGUGCUGCGGACGAGUUUCCCUGCUACGGAAGGGGUCAGUGUAUCCCGAUGUCAGCGAGAUGUGACGGCGAAUAUCACUGUUCGGACGGAACCGAUGAAUUAGAAUGUG